rnacentral:rRNA from 1 species
AUUGAACGCUGGCGGCAGGCCUAACACAUGCAAGUCGAACGAGUGGCGGACGGGUGAGUAAUGGCUGGGAAACUGCCUGAUGGAGGGGGAUAACUACUGGAAACGGUAGCUAAUACCGCAUACCAUCGGAUGUGCCCAGAUGGGAUUAGCUAGUAGGGGGGGUAACGGCUCACCUAGGCGACGAUCCCUAGCUGGUCGGAGAGGAUGACCAGCCACACUGGACACGAGUCACGGUCCAGACUCCUACGGGAGGCAGCAGUGGGGUAUAUUGCACAAUGGGCGCAAGCCUGAUGAAGCCAUGCAGCGUGUAUGAAGAAAGCCUUCGGGAUGUAAAGUACUUUCAGCGGGGAGGCGUUACCCGCAGAAGAAGCACCGGCUAACUCCGUGCCAGCGGCCGCGGUAAUAC